CUAUGGGCGGCUCGACGUGUGGACAGAUGGUUAUCAAUGAUUCGUCUAAGAACAAUUCCUCUUGUUGUUCAUCGCAUUUCGAUCUCGGUGUAUAAAUGAAUGCAUGCACAAAAUUAGCUUGGGCAAGGCAUCAUGACCUACCUCAUUAAGCUAUACAAUCUCAGAAUGAGAAGUCCGUUAAAUUCCGUGGUCGAGUGUGUAUCAGAAUGGACUUGGCCGAAUAACAACUAGAUAUGAAGUCAAGAAGGAGGAGGAGAACGAACACGAUUGAGGAGUACCUCUGCAAGAAGAUUUCAUGUAGAUUUCCACCAUUCUAAAAAUGGCCUUAAGGCAUUUAUUGAAACCGCCCUCCUCUCAGGCAUCGAGGCGAAAUGUCUUUUCGAACACGUUUCGGGUGCUUGCCACUCAGGAUAUGAACUUGCAGGGAAAUGUCCUGGAAAGAGGCAAUUUCAUUUGGUGAGAUGUGUCACAUCAAUGUGCUUCGGCCUGGUCUGCCAAGCCGGACAAUUGGACUUGGAGCGAUCCAGUUUCGGACAUCCUGUUCUUCACCAUCAUCAUGCCAACUAGGACGAGACCCAUCACUCUAUUCAUAUCCGUGUUGACCAAGCGGGUUUCUCCGCGUUGAUUCGCCGUUCAGCGCGUCAUCUCCGGAUCUCUGGCUUGCCACUCCGACGCGAGGGAUCAUGAAAUUGUCCGAAAAAAGACUCCCGAACGAAGGGACGAAGCCAACGAAGACGACGGCAAUUGCGCUCAAAACCGCUUCUCCUCGUCGUCUCAGGGGGUCCCCACGCUAACUAAAUUGGUGAAGGAAAUUUGCCGAUAUCGAGGACAGCGCGAUCAGCUGUCUGCGCUUAUGCACAGUAUAUUAUCCCGAGGUGUACCAUGAAGCAAUCCCGCGGGUGAGGAACCCGUGCCCUGACUGCGUGUGGCUGGUCACCAACGAUAAAGAACAAGAUGAGGUGAAUGAAGAGAAGAAGAAGAAAAAAUCACUCAUCAGAAUCGAGAAGUGGGCAUUUUGAAGGUGUACUCCUCCAUCCAGCGCUCCUCCUGCUAACUCCGUACCCCCAAAACCACUUCACUCCAACGUUGACACACGCACACUCACUCACUCACUCACUUACAAGUUCGAGCGAGGCAACGGGCCUUCGUGUCUUGACUACCGGUCGCCUGCUCUUUCACCCGGCUUCACACCACCACCAUUACUACCAUCACCGUCUUCGCUUUCGUCAUCGUCAGUGAGGGAGAGUCCAGCAUCGAGUGAUCGACCUGCAUUUCAUUUCAAGGCUCAUAGGGAAUUGUCAGCCAGGAGAGUUGUGGAGUUUGAAUUGACGAGUGGGACAGUCUGGGAUCCCAGUGUCAGGGAUAACCGAUCUCCAAGUAGAAAUUGUUGUUGUUGUUGUUGUUGUUGUUGUUGAUGGUGUUCACUGUCAGCUUAUGCUAUAGUUUCGAGCAUCAUCGGCGUCAUUGACAUUGUUCCGUGUUGUGAGUGAUUGUAUAAUUCAUUGUUGAAGUGAGCUAUUGCUGCUGGUCCAAGUGCGAAAUUCCAUUCCACCGAGUCAGUUAUGAACACCCCCUUAGGACAGAGGGAGACGUCGACGACCAUAAAGGCCAGCAAACCGAGACUAGAAUCUCAAAAUCAAGAUCUCUAAGCAACGGACUGUGGGACUAAGAAAAAGACCCAUCCGCUUUUACACCCACUCUCACUCACUCACUCAUUCGUUCGUUCGUUCACGAAUCUGCACCCAAAGCAAACACUCACCUACGUAUAUCCCGACCUUUUACCCUUCUCACCCAUCUAACCCCCUCGGUCUUCUUGUUCUGCUCGCUGUCUGGACCGAUCUCACGUCUCACGUGGAAUAUUAUAAGAUAUCGAAAAGCACGCAAGCACCCACUCACCCACCGACCUAUCAAGCUACCUGCUUACUACUCGUACUUCUGUACGUGGAGCACCAGUCGGAACUGAAUGUUUGAAGUCAAGUCGCCUCCGAUCCCAUUGACAGACAGAAGACCGUUCCACGGAGACUGCAGCCCGACCAAAAGCCCAGAAAAAGAAACCGAAACGAGCAUUUCUUGCAUGGGUUCCAAAUUUUUUGCCCUCUAAGUGAGACUAACGAACACUUUGGGAAAAAGGAA